AUGCGAGGAUGCUGACAGUG
rnacentral:miRNA from 1 species